AGCCAUAUCACAUUUAAACAUUGGUUCCCAUAUGAUCACCAAAGUUAAGCAACAUUGAGCCUGGUCAGUACCUAAAUAGGUGACUGCUUGGGAAUACCACGUGCU